UACGUAGGACGCAAGCGAUGUCCGGAUUUAUUGGGUUAAAAGGGCGCGUAGGCGGCCUAUCAAGUUAGUGGUGAAAACGUUCGGCUUAACCGGACGCCCGCCAUUGAUACUGAUAGACUUGAGUGCGACAGAGGGUGUUGGAAUGUGUGGUGUAGCGGUGAAAUGCUUAGAUAUCACGCAGAACACCAAUUGCGAAGGCAGAUGCCUAUGUCGUAGCUGACGCUGAGGCACGAAAGCGUGGGGAGCAAACAGG
rnacentral:rRNA from 1 species